rnacentral:rRNA from 1 species
CAGCAGCCGCGGUAAUACGUAGGUGGCAAGCGUUGUCCGGAAUUAUUGGGCGUAAAGGGCUCGCAGGCGGUUUCUUAAGUCUGAUGUGAAAGCCCCCGGCUCAACCGGGGAGGGUCAUUGGAAACUGGGAAACUUGAGUGCAGAAGAGGAGAGUGGAAUUCCACGUGUAGCGGUGAAAUGCGUAGAGAUGUGGAGGAACACCAGGGCGAAGGCGACUCUCUGGUCUGUAACUGACGCUGAGGAGCGAAAGCGUGGGGAGCGAACAGGAUUAGAUACCCGCGUAGUCCCUGUCUCUUAUACA